UGGAAGGUAGCCAAAUGGUGAGGCAGCAGUCUGUAAAUCUGUCAUAUGAUGGUUCGAGUCCAUCCCUUCUCAU